rnacentral:rRNA from 1 species
UGAGGAAUAUUGGUCAAUGGACGCAAGUCUGAACCAGCCAAGUAGCGUGCAGGAUGACGGCCCUAUGGGUUGUAAACUGCUUUUAUAUGGGGAUAAAGUGGGGAACGUGUUCCCUUUUGCAGGUACCAUAUGAAUAAGGACCGGCUAAUUCCGUGCCAGCAGCCGCGGUAAUACGGAAGGUUCGGGCGUUAUCCGGAUUUAUUGGGUUUAAAGGGAGCGUAGGCCGUUUGGUAAGCGUGUUGUGAAAUGUAGGAGCUCAACUUCUAGAUUGCAGCGCGAACUGUCAGACUUGAGUGCGCACAACGUAGGCGGAAUUCAUGGUGUAGCGGUGAAAUGCUUAGAUAUCAUGAAGAACUCCGAUUGCGAAGGCAGCUUACGGGAGCGCAACUGACGCUGAAGCUCAAAGGUGCGGGUAUCGAACAGG